CCUGAGAAACCCAAAAGAUCGAAUGGGGAGAUUCAUCGCCAGCGGCGUUGGCUUCCGUGCGGCUCGCGAUGGUCGGGACCUCGGUCUCGCGCCACGUGGUCGCCGCGGUAUGUCCGGCGUCGUUGACGUGCACUUCUCCCCUAGUAGGACGUCGCGACCCGUUGGGUGUCGGAUCAAUGGCCGGUUCGGUCGUCUGUUUGCGCCUCGGCGCUUACAGACCGAGCGGUUCAACGUCCGGCUGCCCGGCGGUAUAGAACGCUUAAUCACGGUAUUGGGCCGCAACUCGAAUGCGUUCAGGCUCGUCGGCAGGCUCGUCUCGCUCGGAUUUACGGACCUAGCGCCGUUGCCGGGCGCUUGGCGUGGCUGUUAGUCGACGAUGUCCUCGGACAGGCUCUUACCGGUCUGCGACGCUACUGCUUUGGGUACUUUC
rnacentral:rRNA from 1 species